rnacentral:rRNA from 1 species
UCCAACCAGAAAGCCAUGGCUAACUACGUGCCAGCAGCCGCGGUAAUACGUAGGUGGCAAGCGUUGUCCGGAUUUAUUUGGUGUAAAGCGAGCGCAGGCGGUUUUUUAAGUCUGAUGUGAAAGUCUUUCGGCUCAACCGAAGAAGUGCAUCGGAAACUGAGAAACUUGAGUGCAGAAGAGGACAGUGGAACUCCAUGUGUAGCGGUGAAAUGCGUAGAUAUAUGGAAGAACACCAGUGGCGAAGGCGGCUGUCUGGUCUGUAACUGACGCUGAGGCUCGAAAGCAUGGGUAGCAAACAGGAUUAGAUACCCUGGUAGUCCAUGCCGUAAACGAUGAGUGCUAGGUGUUGGAGGGUUUCCGCCCUUCAGUGCCGCAGCUAACGCAUUAAGCACUCCGCCUGGGGAGUACGACCGCAAGGUUGAAACUCAAAGGAAUUGACGGGGGCCCGCACAAGCGGUGGAGCAUGUGGUUUAAUUCGAAGCAACGCGAAGAACCUUACCAGGUCUUGACAUCCUUUGACCACUCUAGAGAUAGAGCUUUCCCUUCGGGGACAAAGUGACAGGUGGUGCAUGGUUGUCGUCAGCUCGUGUCGUGAGAUGUUGGGUUAAGUCCCGCAACGAGCGCAACCCUUAUUACUAGUUGCCAGCAUUUAGUUGGGCACUCUAGUGAGACUGCCGGUGACAAACCGGAGGAAGGUGGGGACGACGUCAAAUCAUCAUGCCCCUUAUGACCUGGGCUACACACGUGCUACAAUGGAUGGUACAACGAGUUGCGAGACCGCGAGGUUUAGCUAAUCUCUUAAAACCAUUCUCAGUUCGGAUUGUAGGCUGCAACUCGCCUACAUGAAGCCGGAAUCGCUAGUAAUCGCGGAUCAGCAUGCCGCGGUGAAUACGUUCCCGGGCCUUGUACACACCGCCCGUCACACCAUGAGAGUUUGUAACACCCAAAGCCGGUGAGGUAACCCUUCGGGGAGCCAGCCGUCUAAG